GGGGUUGUAGCUCAGCGGUAGAGCCCUCGCCUAGCAAGUGUGAGGCCUUGGGUUCAAUCCUCAGCAUCACAU
rnacentral:tRNA from 1 species